AGGGGCAUAGCUCAGUUGGUAGAGCACUGGUCUCCAAAACCAGGUGUCGUAGGUUCGAGUCCUGCUGCCCCUGCCA
rnacentral:tRNA from 1 species